rnacentral:rRNA from 1 species
GGCGAGUGGCGAACGGGUGAGUAAUAUAUCGGAACGUACCCAAGAGUGGGGGAUAACGUAGCGAAAGUUACGCUAAUACCGCAUACGAUCUAUGGAUGAAAGUGGGGGAUUCGCAAGAACCUCAUGCUCCUGGAGCGGCCGAUAUCUGAUUAGCUAGUUGGUAGGGUAAAAGCCUACCAAGGCAUCGAUCAGUAGCUGGUCUGAGAGGACGACCAGCCACACUGGAACUGAGACACGGUCCAGACUCCUACGGGAGGCAGCAGUGGGGAAUUUUGGACAAUGGGCGCAAGCCUGAUCCAGCAAUGCCGCGUGAGUGAAGAAGGCCUUCGGGUUGUAAAGCUCUUUUGUCAGGGAAGAAACGGUGGGGGCUAAUAUCCUCCACUAAUGACGGUACCUGAAGAAUAAGCACCGGCUAACUACGUGCCAGCAGCCGCGGUAAUACGUAGGGUGCAAGCGUUAAUCGGAAUUACUGGGCGUAAAGCGUGCGCAGGCGGUUUUGUAAGCUUGUCGUGAAAUCCCCGGGCUCAACCUGGGAAUGGCGAUGAAGA